rnacentral:rRNA from 1 species
GACGAACGCUGGCGGCGUGCUUAACACAUGCAAGUCGAACGGAAAGGCCCUGCUUUUGUGGGGUGCUCGAGUGGCGAACGGGUGAGUAACACGUGAGUAACCUGCCCUUGACUUUGGGAUAACUUCAGGAAACUGGGGCUAAUACCGGAUAGGAGCUCCUGCUGCAUGGUGGGGGUUGGAAAGUUUCGGCGGUUGGGGAUGGACUCGCGGCUUAUCAGCUUGUUGGUGGGGUAGUGGCUUACCAAGGCUUUGACGGGUAGCCGGCCUGAGAGGGUGACCGGCCACAUUGGGACUGAGAUACGGCCCAGACUCCUACGGGAGGCAGCAGUGGGGAAUAUUGCACAAUGGGCGGAAGCCUGAUGCAGCAACGCCGCGGGCGGGAGGACGGCCUUCGGGUUGUAAACCGCUUUCGCCUGUGACGAAGCGUGAGUGACGGUAAUGGGUAAAGAAGCACCGGCUAACUACGGGC